rnacentral:rRNA from 1 species
AGGGAGUUUGAUCCUGGCUCAGGAUGAACGCUAGCGGCAGGCUUAACACAUGCAAGUCGAGGGGCAGCGCGGAUGUAGUAAUACAUUUGGCGGCGACCGGCGCAAGGGUGCGUAACGCGUGAGCGACAUGCCCGUGACCGGGGGAUAACCGAUGGAAACGUCGCCUAACCCCCCAUACGAUGAAGGAUCGCAUGGUUCUUCAUUAAAAAUUCCGGUGGUCACGGAUUGGCUCGCGUCCCAUUAGCUAGUCGGGGGGGUAACGGCCCACCGAGGCGACGAUGGGUAGGGGUUCUGAGAGGAAGGUCCCCCACAAUGGAACUGAGACACGGUCCAUACUCCUACGGGAGGCAGCAGUGAGGAAUAUUGGUCAAUGGGCGGAAGCCUGAACCAGCCAUGCCGCGUGCAGGAAGACGGCCCUAUGGGUUGUAAACUGCUUUUGAGCGGGAGCAAUAAGGGUGUCGAGGACAUCCGAUGAGAGUACCGUUCGAAUAAGCAUCGGCUAACUCCGUGCCAGCAGCCGCGGUAAUACGGAGGAUGCGAGCGUUAUCCGGAUUUAUUGGGUUUAAAGGGUGCGUAGGCUGUUGUGUAAGUCAGGGGUGAAAUGCCGUCGCUUAACGACGGAGCUGCCUUUGAUACUGGCGGACUAGGGUCCAAACGGCGCCGGCGGAAUAUGUAAUGUAGCGGUGAAAUGCAUAGAUAUUACAUAGAACACCGAUCGCGAAGGCAGCUGGCGAGGAUGGCACUGACGCUGAGGCACGAAGGCGUGGGGAUCGAACAGGAUUAGAUACCCUGGUAGUCCCCU